rnacentral:rRNA from 1 species
AGAGUUUGAUCAUGGCUCAGAUUGAACGCUGGCGGCAGGCCUAACACAUGCAAGUCGAGCGGAUGACGGGAGCUUGCUCCUUGAUUCAGCGGCGGACGGGUGAGUAAUGCCUAGGAAUCUGCCUGGUAGUGGGGGACAACGUUUCGAUAAGGAACGCUAAUUCCGCAUACGUCCUACGGGAGAAAGCAGGGGACCUUCGGGCCCUGCGCUAUCACAUGAGCCUAGGUCGGAUUAGCUUGUUGGUGAGGCUAAUGGUUCUUCAACGGGACGCUCCUUAGCUCAUGUUUGCGGAUGAUCUGUCCCUCGUUUUCCGGGACACAGCUCUGACUCCUGACGGCGGAUUCCACUGGCCGUCGUUUUCCGGGAUACAUCUCAUGUCCAGGACUCCGGAUUCACCUGUCUCGUCGUGUGUUCAAUGUAAACACGACUAGUGGCCAUUGAUUACCGGAUUCA